CAUCGUGCCGAGAGGACGUGCGCCGCGGACUCUUGUAGUGAACUAUAGUGAAACGUGGCGUGUGAAAAAACCUAGACUUCCAUAUCGGGCUAUUCGUUUUUUUUCUCUUUCCUUUACCCUACGUUCCAUUCCCUAUUUAUCCCCUUUUUUCCCUCGUCGUCAAGGCAAGAAGUGAGUGCUUAUUUCCUCCAGUGAAACAUCAAUUUAAGUGUUAAAAAUAUAUAUACCUCGGAAAAUAUAUUAAUAAGACACACCAUGUACACUAAAAAGUAGAAAAUAAAUUAGACAA